rnacentral:lncRNA from 1 species
GUCCGUGUGAACUGUGGAAUGAGGUUCGUGACAUUGAACAGGAGACAGGAAUCAAGACCAUCCCCAUGGAAAAGAAAUGCCACAAAGCAAAAUGGCUGUCUGGGGAGGCCUUACACAUAGCUGUGAGAAGAAGAGAAGCGAAAACAAAGGAGAAAAGGAAAGAUACACACAUCUGAAUGCAGAGUUCCAAAGAAUAGCAAGAAGAGAUAAGAAAGCCUUCUUCAACGAUCAAUGCAAAGACAUAGAGGAAAAGCACAGAAUGGGAUAGACUAGGGAUCUCUUCCAGAAACUCAGAGAUACCAAAGGAACAUUUCAUGCAAAGAUGGGCUCGAUACAGGACAGAAAUGGUAUGGACCCAACAGAAGCAGAAGAUAUUCAGAAGAGAUGGCAAGAAUACACAGAAGAACCUUACAAAAAAGAUCUUCAUGACCCAGAUAAUCACGAUGGUGUGAUCCCUGACCUAGAGCCAGACAUCCUGGAAUGUGAAGUCAAGUGGGCCUUAGAAAGCAUCACUACGAACAAAGCUAGUGGAGGUGAUGGAAUGCCAGUGGAGCGCUUCCAAAUCCUGAAAGAUGAUGCAGUGAAAGUGCUGCACUCAAUAUGCCAGCACAUUUGGAAAACUCAGCAGUGGCCACAGGACUGGAAAAGGUCCGUUUUCAUUCCGAUCCCAAAGAAAGGCAAUGCCAAAGAAUGCUCACACGACUGCACACUUGCACUCAUCUCACACGCUAGUAAAGUCAUGCUCAAAAUUCUCCAAGCCAGGCUUCAGCAAUAUGUGCACCGUGAACUUCCUGAUGUUCAAGCUGGUUUUCGAAAAGGCAGAGGAACCAGAGAUCAAAUUGCCAACCUCUGCUGGAUCAUGGAAAAAGCAAGAGAGUUCCAGAAAAGCAUCUAUUUCUGCUUUAUUGACUAUGCCAAAGCCUUUGACGGUGUGGAUCACAGUAAACUGUGGAAAAUUCUGGAAGAGAUGGGAAUACCAGACCACCUGACCUGCCUCUUGAGAAAUCUGUAUGCAGGUCAGGAAGCAACAGUUCGA